rnacentral:rRNA from 1 species
CCUACGGGGGCAGCAGUGGGGAAGAGUGCGCAAGGGGCGAAAGCCGGACGCAGCGACGCCGCGUGAGGGAGGAAGGUCUUCGGAUCGUAAACCUCUGUAAGCAGGGAAGAACGGUCACUGUGCUAAUCAGCAGUGAAGUGACGGUACCUGCAAAGGAAGCACCGGCUAACUCCGUGCCAGCAGCCGCGGUAAUACGGAGGGUGCGAGCGGUAAUCGGAAUUACUGGGCGUAAAGCGCUCGUAGGCGGUAUGUCAAGUCAAGGGUGAAAUCCCCGCGCUCAACGUGGGAACUGCCUUGGAAACUGGCAACCUGGAGUGUGUGAGAGGAUAGUGGACUUCCCGGUGUCGGAGUGAACUCCGUAGAUAUCUGGAGGAACAUCAGUGGCGAAGGCGACUCUCUGGCACAUAACUGACGCUGAGGAGCGAAAGCGUGGGUAGCAAACAGGAUUAGAUACCCCUGUAGUC